GCGGGAAGAGCUCAAAUUUGUAAUCUGGCACUUUCAGUGUCCGAGUUGUAAUCUCGAGAAGUAUUUUCCGCGCCGGACCGCAUACAAGUCUGUUGGAAUACAGCGUCAUAGUGGUGAGAACCCCGUAACUGAUGCGGAUGCCCGGUGCUUUGUGAUAUACUUUCGAAGAGUCGAGUUGUUUGGGAAUGCAGCUCAAAUUGGGUGGUAAAUUCCAUCUAAAGCUAAAUAUUGGAGCAAGACCGAUAGCGAACAAGUACCGUGAGGGAAAGAUGAAAAGCACUUUGGAAAGAGAGUUAACAGUACGUGAAAUUGUUGGAAGGGAAACGCUUGAAGUCAGACUUGCUAUUCGGAGUUCAGCCGCAAGGUGUAUUCUUCGAUUCGCAGGCCAGCAUCAGUUUUUGGGGGUGGAAAAUCGCGGUUUGAAGGUAGCAACUUCGGUUGUGUUAUAGCUUUCCGCUGGAUUCAUCCUUGGGGACUGAGGAACGCAGUACGCUUUUUGCAAGGCUCUCGAGCUUUUCGUACUUAGGAUGCUGGUGGAAUGGCUUUAAACGACCCGUCUUGA
rnacentral:rRNA from 1 species